GACGAACGCUGGCGGCGUGCCUAACACAUGCAAGUCGAACGGAAGGACACGAGAGCUUGCUCUUGUGGACUUCAGUGGCGAACGGGUGAGUAACGCGUAAACAACCUACCCCGGGGAUGGGGACAACAGACGGAAACGACUGCUAAUACCCAAUGAACUCCCUGAUUGAGUGAUGAGGAAAGGAAAGGUGGCCUCUCGAAGAAGCUACCGCCUCGGGAGGGGUUUGCGUCUGAUUAGUUAGUUGGUGGGGUAACGGCCUACCAAGACGAUGAUCAGUAGCCGGUCUGAGAGGAUGAACGGCCACACUGGAACUGAGACACGGUCCAG
rnacentral:rRNA from 1 species